rnacentral:rRNA from 1 species
GAUGAACGCUGGCGGCGUGCCUAAUACAUGCAAGUCGAGCGAACAGAUGAGGAGCUUGCUCCUCUGACGUUAGCGGCGGACGGGUGAGUAACACGUGGAUAACCUACCUAUAAGACUGGGAUAACUUCGGGAAACCGGAGCUAAUACCGGAUAAUAUAUUGAACCGCAUGGUUCAAUAGUGAAAGACGGUUUUGCUGUCACUUAUAGAUGGAUCCGCGCCGCAUUAGCUAGUUGGUAAGGUAACGGCUUACCAAGGCAACGAUGCGUAGCCGACCUGAGAGGGUGAUCGGCCACACUGGAACUGAGACACGGUCCAGACUCCUACGGGGGGCAGCAGUAGGGAAUCUUCCGCAAUGGGCGAAAGCCUGACGGAGCAACGCCGCGUGAGUGAUGAAGGUCUUCGGAUCGUAAAACUCUGUUAUUAGGGAAGAACAAAUGUGUAAGUAACGAUGCACGUCUUGACGGUACCUAAUCAGAAAGCCACGGCUAACUACGU